rnacentral:tRNA from 2 species
GCCUUCUUAGCUCAGUUGGUAGAGCGCAUGCCUAGUAAGCAUGAGGUCGUCAGUUCGACUCUGGCAGAAGGCA